GACGAACGCUGGCGGCGUGCCUAAUACAUGCAAGUCGAACGAGAGCAACCGGUGCUUGCACUGGUCAAUCUAGUGGCGAACGGGUGAGUAACACGUGGGUAACCUGCCCAUCAGAGUGGGAUAACAUCCGGAAACGGAUGCUAAAACCGCAUAGGUCUUCGAACCGCAUGGUUCGACGAGGAAAAGAGGCGCAAGCUUCUGCUGAUGGAUGGACCCGCGGUGCAUUAGCUAGUUGGUGAGGUAACGGCUCACCAAGGCCGUGAUGCAUAGCCGACCUGAGAGGGUGAUCGGCCACAUUGGGACUGAGACACGGCCCAAACUCCUACGGGAGGCAGCAGUAGGGAAUCUUCCGCAAUGGACGCAAGUCUGACGGAGCAACGCCGCGUGAGUGAAGAAGGUUUUCGGAUCGUAAAACUCUGUUGUUAGAGAAGAACAAGUGCUAGAGUAACUGUUAGCGCCUUGACGGUAUCUAACCAGAAAGCCACGGCUAACUACGUG
rnacentral:rRNA from 1 species